rnacentral:rRNA from 1 species
GAGUUUGAUCGUGGCUCAGGACGAACGCUGGCGGCGUGCCUAACACAUGCAAGUCGAACGAAGCACUGCGGAAAGAGACUUCGGUCAAUGGAAGCUUUGACUUAGUGGCGGACGGGUGAGUAACGCGUGAGGAACCUGCCUUUCAGUGGGGGACAACAGUUGGAAACGACUGCUAAUACCGCAUAAUGUGUUUUGGGGGCAUCCCCGGAACACCAAAGAUUUAUUGCUGAAAGAUGGCCUCGCGUCUGAUUAGAUAGUUGGUGGGUAACGGCCUACCAAGUCGACGAUCAGUAGCCGGACUGAGAGGUUGAACGGCCACAUUGGGACUGAGAUACGGCCCAGACUCCUACGGGAGGCAGCAGUGGGGAAUAUUGGGCAAUGGGGGAAACCCUGACCCAGCAACGCCGC